rnacentral:rRNA from 1 species
GAUGAACGCUGGCGGCGGGCUUAACACAUGCAAGUCGAACGGAAAGGCCCUGCUUUUGUGGGGUUCCCGAGUGGCGCACGGGUGAGUUACCCGUGAGUAACCUGCCCUUUACUUUAGGAUAACUUCAGGAAACUGGGGCUACUACCGGAUAGGAGCUCCUGCUGCAUGGGGGGGGUUGGAAAGUUUCGGCGGUUGGGGAUGGACUGGCGGUUUACCAGCUUGUUGGUGGGGUAGUGGCCUACCGAGGCUUUGACGGGUAGCCGGCCUGAGAGGGUGACCGGGCACAAUAGGACUGCGAUACGGCGCAGUCGCCAACGGUAGGCAACGGUGGAGAGUAUGACACAAUGGGGGGAAGCCUGAUGCAGCAACGCCGCGUGCGGGAUGACGGUCAUGUGGUUGUGAAGCGCUGUCGCUUGUGACGAAGCGGGAGUGACGGUACUGGGUGAAGAAGCACCGGCUAACUACGUG